AUGCCGUCGCCGGCAUGGGCAACAGCCGCUGCCGGAGCCGAAGCGCCCAGCGAGUUCCACCUGUUCGAGGUCGUCGGCUACUCCCGCGCCAAAGAUUUACCAACUGGCAUGGCAAUAGAGUCUUCCCCAUUCAUGCUGGGCGGUUAUCGUUGGGUUAUCGAGAUCUUCCCCAAUGGUAGAGUCCCGGAGGACGCCGAUUUCAUGGCUCUCUCUUUCACUCUCAUCCAGGAUGUCACGCGCCCUCUGAAAGUGCACGCCCUGUUCACUUUCGUCGACCAGGUUGCAUAUCAUGAUCCUAGAGUUGUUCGUACAAAUCCGAUAACUCAUGUGCCUAGCAGAGUCUGCAUGGGCUGCCCCAGGUACAUUGCGAGGGAGGCCUUCGAAAGGUCUGAGCAUCUCAAGGACGAUUGCUUCACCGUCCGGUGGGAACUCAUCAUCGUCGAGGAUGGGCUUCAGCAAUAG
rnacentral:rRNA from 1 species